AGCCGAAUUGUGGUGGUGAAGACGAAAGACCCGAAAAUUCGUAAGACCACAAAUUCACAUAUCCGAAUUCGCUAGAGCAUCCAUCUGGAUCUUCUGGCAACAGAAUUUCUUGACGACCAUAGAGCAUUGGAACCACCUGAUCCCAUCCCGAACUCAGCAGUGAAACGAUGCAUCGCCGAUGGUAGUGUGGGGUUUCCCCAUGUGAGAGUAGGUCAUCGUCAAGA
rnacentral:rRNA from 1 species